rnacentral:tRNA from 1 species
GCCGCAAUGGUGGAAUUGGUAGACACGAGGGACUUAAAAUCCCUUGACCAGUGAUGGUCGUGCGGGUUCGAGUCCCGCUCGCGGCA